UAACAGGAUUUAGAUACCCUGGUAGUNCACGCCGUAAACGAUGUCGACUUGGAGGUUGUUCCCUUGAGGAGUGGCUUCCGGAGCUAACGCGUUAAGUCGACCGCCUGGGGAGUACGGCCGCAAGGUUAAAACUCAAAUGAAUUGACGGGGGCCCGCACAAGCGGUGGAGCAUGUGGUUUAAUUCGAUGCAACGCGAAGAACCUUACCUACUCUUGACAUCCAGGGAAUUUAGCAGAGAUGCUUUGGUGCCUUCGGGAACUGUGAGACAGGUGCUGCAUGGCUGUCGUCAGCUCGUGUUGUGAAAUGUUGGGUUAAGUCCCGCAACGAGCGCAACCCUUAUCCUUUGUUGCCAGCGAUUCGGUCGGGAACUCAAAGGAGACUGCCGGUGAUAAACCGGAGGAAGGUGGGGAUGACGUCAAGUCAUCAUGGCCCUUACGAGUAGGGCUACACACGUGCUACAAUGGCGCAUACAAAGAGAAGCGACCUCGCGAGAGCAAGCGGACCUCAUAAAGUGCGUCGUAGUCCGGAUCGGAGUCUGCAACUCGACUCCGUGAAGUCGGAAUCGCUAGUAAUCGUGGAUCAGAAUGCCACGGUGAAUACGUUCCCGGGCCUUGUACACACCGCCCGUCACACCAUGGGAGUGGGUUGCAAAAGAAGUAGGUAGCUUAACCUUCGGGAGGGCGCUUACCACUUUGUGAUUCAUGACUGGGGUGAAGUCG
rnacentral:rRNA from 1 species